UUACGGAAGGCGGCGGUGAGGAAUAUUGCUCAAUGGGCGAAAGCCUGAAGCAGCGACGCCGCGUGAGGGAUGAAAUCCGUUAGGAUGUAAACCUCUUUUGCGAGGGAAGAAUAUCCGCUUUUAGCGGAGGUGACUGUACCUCGUGAAUAAGCACCGGCCAACUACGUGCCAGCAGCCGCGGUAAUACGUAGGGUGCAAGCGUUGUCCGGAAUUACUGGGUGUAAAGGGUCCGCAGGCGGGCAAGCAAGUCGGUGGUGAAAGUUCACGGCUCAACCGUGAAAUUGCCUUCGAUACUGCUUGUCUUGAGUUCGAGAGAGGAUAAUGGAAUUCAUGGUGUAGCGGUGAAAUGUGUAGAGAUCAUGAAGAACACCGGUAGCGAAGGCGGUUAUCUGGCUCGAAACUGACGCUCAGGGACGAAAGCGUGGGUAGCAAACAGGAUUAGAUACCCGGGUA
rnacentral:rRNA from 1 species